rnacentral:lncRNA from 1 species
GUUUUCCAAAAUCAUCUCUCACUGUGCUGAAGUCCUUACUGUCAUCAAGGAGAAGAUUCUUCACCCCAAUGAUAUCUCCAUCUUUCAGGUGAUAAGGGGCUGACUGUAAACUCUCCUGUUUUUUCUUCCGUUUUCUCUUCGAAAUUUGCUGGGUCCAGCUAGAUAUUGGCAGCCACUCAUAUUUUUCAGGGAAGUAUUUGGCUAUUUCAAUUUUAUCUACAGGGAGACAAUAGUGAGAAGCCACUCUUUGCCUCAGUGCCCAGGUAGUGCAUUCUUUGGAGAUAUUCCACACCAAAUCCACGGAGUCAUAGUAGUCCCUUUCC